UACGAAGGGUGCAAGCGUUACUCGGAAUUACUGGGCGUAAAGCGUGCGUAGGUGGUUUGUUAAGUCUGAUGUGAAAGCCCUGGGCUCAACCUGGGAACUGCAUUGGAAACUGGCUUACUAGAGUGCGGUAGAGGGGUGUGGAAUUCCCGGUGUAGCAGUGAAAUGCGUAGAUAUCAGGAGGAACACCGGUGGCGAAGGCGGCUAUCUGGACAGAAACUGACGCUGAGGCGCGAAAGCUAGGGGAGCAAACAGG
rnacentral:rRNA from 1 species